rnacentral:rRNA from 1 species
UACGUAGGUGACCAGCGUUGUCCGGAUUUACUGGGCGUAAAGAGCGCGCAGGCGGUCGUUCAAGUCGAGUGUGAAAGCCCCCGGCUCAACUGGGGAGGGUCAUUCGAUACUGAUCGACUGGAAGGCAGGAGAGGGAAGCGGGAAUUCCCGGUGUAGUGGUGAAAUGCGUAGAUAUCGGGAGGAACACCAGUGGCGAAGGCGGCUUCCUGGCCUGUUCUUGACGCUGAGGCGCGAAAGCUAGGGGAGCAAACGGGA